rnacentral:rRNA from 1 species
UGCGUAGGCGGUCGGGUAAGUCUGAUGUGAAAUCCCGCAGCUCAACUGCGGAACGGCAUUGGAUACUAUCCGGCUCGAGGAGUGGAGGGGAGACUGGAAUUCUCGGUGUAGCAGUGAAAUGCGUAGAUAUCGAGAGGAACACCUGUGGCGAAGGCGAGUCUCUGGACACUUCCUGACGCUGAGGCACGAAAGCCAGGGGAGCAAACGGGAUUAGAUACCCCGGUAGUCCUGGCCCUAAACGGUGCGCAUUUGCUGUGAGCGGAAUCGACCCCGCUCGUGGCGAAGCUAACGCGUUAAAUGCGCCGCCUGGGAAGUACGGCCGCAAGGUUAA